ensembl:snoRNA U3 Small nucleolar RNA U3
AAGACUAUACUUUCAGGGAUCAUUUCUUUAGUUGUGGACUUGAGAAAUGUGUUUCGUAAGAGUUUGGUCUCGCUGUCCACAACGAAGAGUUCAGAUGUUUCCUUCAGAGCAGGAAACUGGCGGGAAGAUUUUCUUUUUUCGCUGCUGUUGAAGAUUGUUCAGAGAUUCUGAAAGACUCUCUGAUGGAGGAAACAUGAUCUGAGUGGG